rnacentral:rRNA from 1 species
UACGGAAGGCAGCAGUGGGGAAUAUUGCACAAUGGGCGCAAGCCUGAUGCAGCCAUGCCGCGUGUAUGAAGAAGGCCUUCGGGUUGUAAAGUACUUUCAGCGGGGAGGAAGGCGAUGCGGUUAAUAACCGCGUCGAUUGACGUUACCCGCAGAAGAAGCACCGGCUAACUCCGUGCCAGCAGCCGCGGUAAUACGGAGGGUGCAAGCGUUAAUCGGAAUUACUGGGCGUAAAGCGCACGCAGGCGGUCUGUUAAGUCAGAUGUGAAAUCCCCGGGCUUAACCUGGGAACUGCAUUUUGAAACUGGCAGGCUUGAGUCUUGUAGAGGGGGUAGAAUUCCAGGUGUAGCGGUGAAAUGCGUAGAGAUCUGGAGGAAUACCGGUGGCGAAGGCGGCCCCUGGGACAAGACUGACGCUCAGGGUGCGAAAGCGUGGGGAGCAAACGAGGAUUAGGAUACC